UUUUAUGGAAUUAGUCAAAUAUGCUCGAAACCCGUCGUAUCACGUAUGGGUUGAACACGUUUCUUUCUCUGCCGCCGGGAUAUAGGGUCACACCUAGGGUUUCAAAUCAGUUGCUUCAUCUUCUUCCUACCGAUCUCAGAAAUCCACAAGUUACAGAUUUCUCCUAUUAAAGUCUUCUUAAAAUCAUCAUCCACGAUCUACUUUCAAUGUGAACUUUGCUCUUAGAAGGCGGUGGGACUUUAAGUAUAUAAAGAAGUUGAGUUGUUGAAAGAGAGGAUGGCGAAGCUACUGCUUGGUGAAGACAUGUCAGGUUCUGGUGAAGGAGUUUGUCCUGCCAUCACCAAUCUCUACAGCAAUUAUCUUUAGCUAUGAAUGUUUAUAUGAUAUUAAGGAGAUAAAUGGUGGCUUCCUCUGCCAUGUGUGCCAUCUGAUGGAUUCUCUGAGCAGUCCAAGAAACAGCUUGACUGCACUUAUGAUUUCACUAACCAAAUUUUGAAAGCGUCUAAGUCAGUCAACAACAUUGCGUUAGCUGAAAUGGAAGUUCCAAAAGCAUACAUUGAAGCUCUUCUAAUAGAAACUUUAAAUCUCAUAGCCAGUUUUCUGAAGUUGCGUCUGAAUUCUGUCUACAGAACGGGAGACCAUGUCUUGGAGAUUUUCUUUAUAGAAACAUUACAUCUGAUAACUUCUCAGCAGGUUACUUGCUUGGACUCAGUAGAUCUUUCUUCGGAGCAUGUUGUUGUGGAGAUGGAGAAUAGAGUAGAAGCAUCAACGUACAUCUGGAGGAGAAGAGCUCAUUCAAGGCAUUUGAUUUCACUGUAUAGAUCCACUGGUGCAAGACCCUCUUGGGGGGGUGAUAGUGAAAAAGAUGAUGAAUCAAGCGGUAACACUUUUGAUUGGUCGGAGAAGGAAAGCGGUUCGCAGCUGAAGAGAGCUCAAGAGAGAGAGAGAGAGCAUAAUCCCUAAACGGUAACACUCUUGAAAUUCCAAUCUACUUUUUUGAAUUUUGGUUUUCUUGAACAUUGGAGCUACUAAAGGAAAGUAUUUAUCGAUGUGGGUAGUGGAAAAGAAGUAUUGGAACAUGAUGGUUUGUUAACAAUAUUUUUUUUUCCCUAAAAUGUGAAUAUCAAAUUAAUGAAAGGCUUAGGUUUACAAGGCCUAUAUUUGUGUUACCUUGGCAAAAAAGAAUAAAAAA